rnacentral:rRNA from 1 species
AUUGAACGCCGGCGGCAUGCCUUACACAUGCAAGUCGAACGGUAACAGGUUAAGCUGACGAGUGGCGAACGGGUGAGUAAUAUAUCGGAACGUGCCCCGUCGUGGGGGAUAACUGCUCGAAAGAGCAGCUAAUACCGCAUACGACCUGAGGGUGAAAGCGGGGGAUCGCAAGACCUCGCGCGAUUGGAGCGGCCGCUUUCAGAUUAGGUAGUUGGUGGGGUAAAAGCCCACUAAGCCAACGAUCUGUAGCUGGUCUGAGAGGACGACCAGCCACACUGGGACUGAGACACGGCGCAGACUCCUACGGGAGGCAGCAGUGGGGAAUUUCGGACAAUGGGCGCAAGCCUGAUCCAGCCAUGCCGCGUGCGGGAAGAAGGCCUUCGGGUUGUAAACCGCUUUUGUCAGGGAAGAAAAGGUUCUGGUUAAUACCUGGGACUCUUGACGGUACCUGAAGAAUAAGCACCGGCUAACUACGUGCCAGCCGCCGCCGUAACAC